rnacentral:rRNA from 1 species
AGCCAUAUAUCAACCUACAGAUCUCACCUGAUAUCCCACGGAAGCUAAGCAGAGUUGAGCCUGGCCAGUACAUGGAUGGGAAACCUACUGGGGAAAGCUAAGGUGGCUC